GCAUCUAGGGCACACAUCUAACAAACUCCCACUUAACCUAAUGCCAAUUGGCUACAUAUCUAAGUUCCAUCUUCUCAAGGUGGGCUUCGAUCUUCUGCUGGCCUAAUGGCUUUGUCAGCGGGUCUGCCACAUUGUCUGUGGAGUCGACUCUCUUAACCUCGACAUAACCUUUUUUGAGGUAAUCAUGGAUCAGAUGGAAUCGCCGCUCGAUAUGUUUGGACUUCUGGUGAGACCUUGGCUCCUUAGCUAGGGCUAUG
rnacentral:lncRNA from 1 species